GACGAACGCUGGCGGCGUGCCUAAUACAUGCAAGUCGAACGCACUCUCGUUUAGAUUGAAGGAGCUUGCUCCUGAUUGAUAAACAUUUGAGUGAGUGGCGGACGGGUGAGUAACACGUGGGUAACCUGCCCUAAAGUGGGGGAUAACAUUUGGAAACAGAUGCUAAUACCGCAUAAAACCUAACACCGCAUGGUGUAGGGUUGAAAGAUGGUUUCGGCUAUCACUUUAGGAUGGACCCGCGGUGCAUUAGUUAGUUGGUGAGGUAAAGGCUCACCAAGACCGUGAUGCAUAGCCGACCUGAGAGGGUAAUCGGCCACACUGGGACUGAGACACGGCCCAGACUCCUACGGAGGCAGCAGUAGGGAAUCUUCCCACAAUGGACGAAAGUCUGAUGAGCAACGCCGCGUGAGUGAAGAAGGUUUUCGGAUCGUAAAA
rnacentral:rRNA from 1 species